CGCGAAGGCAACUUUUACUUUGUGUAGCGAGGCGCCAUGUUUGUUUUGUUUUCAAGCAAUCUGUGACCGUUACUUCUUUAAACUAAAUUGCUUUAAACUGAUUGGUUGAUUUAAUCAUCACAAUGUUUUUCCACCAAUCAGAUCAGUUUGUUACAGAUUUUUGCACUGUGAUUACAGAAAAUUGCACUGUGAUUAUGGUGUCCCAUCCCCGCCAAAAAUCAACUUUUUAUUUUCA